rnacentral:piRNA from 1 species
UGGUCAGGUGUUAGCGUGGCUCCCAUUGU